rnacentral:misc_RNA from 1 species
CUCGAUCUAAGGUAAGUCAUCCUCAUAGCAUUUUUAGCAAUGGCUGCAUCUACUUCAUUCUUCUUGCCCUUGUGUAGUGUCUUGACUAAUGGCAUAUUUCUGGUGAAUUCUUUUGAAUCUUUUGUGACUUGCUAUUAUACGUUAGGCAAGCUAGGUUUAUGUGCUUGUCCAUCAAUAAACUGUCUACCAUCUUGGUUAUAAAUGAAAAUAGGGCGCUUUUUUGCUUGCAACUCUGCAUAUCAAUGGUAAUUUAUUGAAGAAAGGGAAAUAUAUUUAGUUAUUAGAUGAUUUUGCUACAAGAAUGAUAGGGAAUCAGCAAAUUUGCUUCUCCAUCAUGACAAGGUGAGAACUCUGCGGACUAACUUGGUAUAUCCAAAAAAUCCCAGAAAUGGAGCUUACAUGUCAUGGCUGUCUUUGUAGAUCUAGAAUAAAAAAAAAAGUGUGAGAUGCUAUUCUUUUAGACCAUUUAUGUAAGCUAGAAAGGAAGGAAUUUCAAGGCUUUUUUGGAUAAGGAAACACCCUUUAAUAUGAGGGAAGACAAGGAAAUCCUCUUCAACUUCCAUUUUUGUUGGAGGUCUUUCAAGUGUAGCCGUGUAUAUUAUGAGUGAAAAUAGGUGGUGCCACCGUCGUUGUGUUACUUCAAUAUAAAUCUUUUGACUAAUUAAAAUUGUAGUGGUGAGAUGUGGUAUAAGCAAUAUAAAAGUUUAUUGACAUAUUUAUUAGAUAGUAGCAUUGACCUGGAAGAUAAAAAUCUUAGAGAAGUUUCUGCAUGGAUGGAAAGCUUUUUAAUGUAUCAACAAGCUGUAAGAGAUCUAGUUUCUUAGAAUAAUAUUAAAAAAAUAAAAAAAAGCCUUACACACAUUAUAAAUACUGUAAAAUAUUCCCUUUGUGAGAGUAUAGGAAAUCAAGAUAAUCCAUCAAUUGUAUAACAAAUUUGCAAUGAUUAAUUAAACUAAUUACCUCAUUGUCAAUUGAAUUUUUGAAUUUGCAAGUAUAAUCUAGCAUAUUCUUGUAACCAUGUUUGUUUCGUGUUAUCUUUGGGUGGAUCACAAGUGAGGUGAUCGUCUUUAUCAUCGCUCCUCAAAUACAUAUGGAAUUUUCACUCCAAUCCAGAAAAUUUGCACUAGUGAGUUUGUGUUCCUUGAUUUUUGUCAUCACCAAAAUCACAUCUUACACCACUGACUUAACUUUUUGCCAUUUUUACGAAAUUAACAGGACACUGGUCCUAAAUUAGUGUCCUAACAGGAAACCGAAACUCCCCAGAAUGUCCCAAAAACAGGGGUCUCAAGACCCAAAACAAGAUCACCCAAAAAAGGCAACAAACGAAACUCUGGCUCACAGGGUUGCAUCACGCUUGUUAGGUCAAUGCAAGAGAAGAAGACGGAAGCAGAAAACAGCAACACAUGCUCCCUCACUCGCCGGUGCCUGGGUUGAUGCCGAUUCUAGAGGAUACUCAAUUUGGG